CCCAGACUCCUACGGGAGGCAGCAGUGGGGAAUAUUGCACAAUGGGGGGAACCCUGAUGCAGCGACGCCGCGUGGGUGAAGGAGUAUUUCGGUAUGUAAAGCCCUAUCAGCAGGGAAGAACAAUGACGGUACCUGACUAAGAAGCACCGGCUAAAUACGUGCCAGCAGCCGCGGUAAUACGUAUGGUGCAAGCGUUAUCCGGAUUUACUGGGUGUAAAGGGGGCGCAGACGGCGAUGCAAGCCAGGAGUGAAAGCCCGGGGCCCAACCCCGGGACUGCUCUUGGAACUGCGUGGCUGGAGUGCAGGAGGGGCAGGCGGAAUUCCUAGUGUAGCGGUGAAAUGCGUAGAUAUUAGGAGGAACACCAGUGGCGAAGGCGGCCUGCUGGACGACAACUGACGGUGAGGCGCGAAAGCGUGGGGAGCAAACAGGAUUAGAUACCCGAGUA
rnacentral:rRNA from 1 species